rnacentral:rRNA from 1 species
GGUACGAAAGCGUGGGGAGCAAACAGGAUUAGAUACCCUGGUAGUCCAUGCUGUAAACGAUGUCGAUUUGAAAGUUGUGACCUUUUGAGUUAUGGCUUUCGAAGCUAACGCGUUAAAUCGACCGCCUGGGGAGUACGACCGCAAGGUUAAAACUCAAAUGAAUUGACGGGGGCCCGCACAAGCGGUGGAGCAUGUGGUUUAAUUCGAUGCAACGCGAAAAACCUUACCUACUCUUGACAUCCAGAGAAUUUAGCAG